CGGCGGACGGGUGGGUAACGCGUGGGUAACCUGCCUCAUACAGGGGGAUAACAGUUGGAAACGGCUGCUAAUACCGCAUAAGCGCACAGUACCGCAUGGUACGGUGUGAAAAACUCCGGUGGUAUGAGAUGGACCCGCGUCUGAUUAGGUAGUUGGUGGGGUAACGGCCCACCAAGCCGACGAUCAGUAGCCGACCUGAGAGGGUGACCGGCCACAUUGGGACUGAGACACGGCCCAA
rnacentral:rRNA from 1 species